rnacentral:sRNA from 1 species
CAUAAAUCUACUAAUGUCUCUGAUCAUUGGAUCUACUCAUUAUGAAACAUUACAGGACGGAAUCUUUGGAGCAUUCUGUCUCCACAUGCUUUUAUUUCUGUUUUUUGAGGUUGGUCUCCUAGGCAACCAGUCUGAGAUGGAAUGUAUUUGUCAAGGGGAGGGAGAGGAAGGAGAUGAACACACGACUGAUGAGACUGCAGGCCACUCCUUCAUCUGGUGAGCGUAGGCAGGGAACCACUUCCAAAAGGUGAAACCCAAGUGCAUUCUAGACUCUUCACGGAUUUUAGCACCAAGGGCUUUAGGAGACAAAAACUAAGUCCAGAAGAGAAACUAAAUGAUGAAGAGAAACAUGGAGGGUUACCGUGGAAACCAAGGAAACAGCCAAGGAAAGAGACAAAUUGUAUAUGAAAUGCAUGACUGCUCCACCUCAACCUGCUUCCCACACUUGAAAACUCGGUUGCCAGUUAACAGGGAUGCUUUGGGAAGUGAAGAACCUUUAGGUGGAAGUAGGACUUAGCUGGAGGAAGUGGAGCACCAGAGGGUGCGUGUUAUGGGUAAGAGGCUGGCUCUGUUUCCAGCCAGCACUCUUUCCUGACUAGGAAAGAUGUAACCAGCCUUCUCCAACCCCAACCACCAGCUCUCUCUGCUCUACUCUUUCAGCCCAUGAGCCACAAUAAAUCCUCCCUUGAGUGUUCUGUCAGGAGUAACAUGGCUGUGAUAAGUAACACUUCAGUUGCGGAGGACCCCCCUUUCCCUUCCUCUUCCUCUGCCCUCCGCCCUUCCUACUCUGCUCUAAGUCACUGGUAUCUCAGAGAGAGGCUCUGCUCCUUUCCACCAGACCAGGACAAUCAGCCCAGACUGCUCCUCAGUCCCAGGACACAGGGCAGAUGUCAAAAGGUACGGAUUUAAGCAGUGUUGAGCCAUUAACACAGAUGCUAGUGAGUUCGAUCUCAAGUGGCAGUUGUCUCUAAAUGUAGCUUGGAGUUUACUGGAACCAGAAAUACACAUUUGAAAUGAGCCCAGUGCCAUAGGAUUCAGUUCUAGACCAGACUGCAGAUCAACACCAGAUUCCAUUGUCUCUCAGAUGAGGAACCUGACGGUGUUUCCACAGCUCCCUUUACUGAACGUUCUUUUCCAAGACUGAGGGAAAAAUGGCAUCCACCCCUAAGUCACUCAAAUAUCUCUAAGGGAGUUCAGGAUCACCCUUCAGUGCGUCCGUGGCAUUUCUCAUAUGUGAAGUCCAGGGCCGGGCUAUAGUUCAGUAAUAGAGCACCUGACUUACCUGUGUGAGGCUCCAGGCUCCAUUCCCUGUACCAUAGAAGGGGAAGGAGGAAGGGGGAGGGUAUCAGGGGGAUGAGAGGAGGAAGAAAGGCCCAAAGACCAAGAAUACAGCAAAAAAAAAAUCCACAAUGAGCCUUCAGCAGGAUCAAAGUGACUCACUUUGGGAAAAUAUGUCCAAUUGAGGAUUUGUCAGAUGGGGAGGAGGGAGAGGAGCCUGACUAAAUUGCUUAAGUGGCAUUCUUUGGUCUCGGGCAUUGACAGUUGUGAAACGUGAGAAACAUUCUGCCUGGUGCUUGCCUCCGAGAGGAAGAAUUCUAGAAGGAUGGAGGAAAGGACUUCUCUGUUAGAGAAGUGGGUGUGCAAUUAGAUAAGAUGGAUGAAGCAAAGAAGUGCAGGCCGACAGGA